rnacentral:rRNA from 1 species
UAGGGAAUCUUCCGCAAUGGACGAAAGUCUGACGGAGCAACGCCGCGUGAGUGAAGAAGGAUUUCGGUUCGUAAAACUCUGUUGUUAGGGAAGAAAAAAUGUAUAGUAACUAUAUACAAAAGAGACGGUACCUAACCAGAAAGCCACGGCUAACUACGUGCCAGCAGCCGCGGUAAUACGUAGGUGGCAAGCGUUGUCCGGAAUUAUUGGGCGUAAAGCGCGCGCAGGUGGUUUAGAAAGUCUGAUGUGAGAGCCCACGGCUCAACCGUGGAGGGUCAUUGGAAACUAAUAAACUUGAGUGCAGGAGAGAAAAGUGGAAUUCCUAGUGUAGCGGUGAGAUGCGUAGAGAUUAGGAGGAACACCGGUGGCGAAAGCGGCUUUUUGGCCUGCAACUGACACUGAGGCGCGAAAGCGUGGGGAGCAAACAGG